GCCAGGAAAACGCGCAGUCGCGUACACUGUCUGUCUGGCAACAGAGGGAAGGCGCGGAAUCACGUGGGCUGUACGUAACAGAGGGAAGGCGCGGGGUCACGUGGGCGGUAUGGGGGGCGGGGGCUCUAGGGCCACAGAGCGCCGUGCUGUACUGUGAGGUGGUGGGUCUCUCAGCUGACCCUUUAGGGAAUGGAAGGAUGGAGCGAAAUCAGAAGACCCACAGGCCUUCUGAUUUCCGUGGAGGGCGCAUCCAGCCCCUUUUCGUGGCCUCGCCAGCGCAGAGCACCAAUGUCAGCCAGGAGAGCGCAGUAUCAUCCUCUUUUGCCCACAACGCCCAGGACCGACCCAGGACCCACAGGGCCAAGAGAAAGGGCAAAGACCAUGACAGUGAGGGAAUCGGGCACCGGCUACUGGAUAUGAUGAGAAAAACUCUUACGGUGUCUGAGAAUAAAGAAAUGGAUGCAGCACCUGAGAGAUCAACUUUGGUUCCAUUUGGGGAUGUGGUUGGCUGCCUAGCUGUUCACAUACAGAGUUGCAGACAUUUUUUGCCUAUGAUCUACUUAAAGCAUUACACAAAUUUGUACAUUCGCAUCUCCGUAAACAGCUUUGUGAAAUAUACAAAAAGUUUUAGCUUGCUCUCUGGAAACAAUGAAAAGAAUAUUGUAAUUAAAUUUGAUGAAAUGAAGUUCUUUUCCAUACAGGUUCCCAGACAUCAAGAUGAUAAGCGGAAUAAUAUUUCCUUGGAACUGGUGCAAUACAGUGAUACAGAAAAUUAUCUUCUCCUCUUAGGAAGUGCUGAGGUGCAUCUUUAUGAAGUAAUUCAGUGUGUCUGCAGGUUGGAUGUGGAACUUAUGUUUGCCUAUGGAUCCUUUGGUUACGGAUUUUCACAUCAGUUAAAACCUCUUCAAAGAAAUAUUGAGCCUACUAUGUUUUUGAAUGUUGCAUCACAUCCAAAAAGAAAAGAUCUCCCAAUAAAUAUUGUCACACCACAGCCUGUUACUGUUGAGAAUUCAGCUGACAGACAACACCCCAACCAGCCACCUAUAGUACAACUUGAAAAUCCCCGGGAAAGGUUGGAAAAAAUGAAAAAGGAAUAUAGAAAUCUGAGUACAUGGAAAGAAAAAGCUGAUUAUUUGGAAAGCAUACUUAAUCCAGAAUUGGAACAUAAGAAUUCCAAGGAAACUAAUAUAAAUAAGAUGUCAGAAAGCCUAAAUAAUAACCAAUAUGAAAAGAAGUCUGAAGAUACUAUAACAUUAGAUGUCCCACUUAGAAGCAGUGAAGGUGAAAUUACACCAGUUGAGUUGCUGGAAAAUGAUAAGAAAGACCUGACUAUACCAACUUUGAACCUUUGGGACCAAGAUAAUUCAAUUGCUGUUAUUCCAAGAAUUGAUGAGUCAACACUGCCACCCACAGAUAUUCCACUGUCCAUUAUUCCUACCCUUAAAGUAACAGAAGAGGGGAAAAUACCACCUUUAGAUGAACAAUCAAAAGCCAUACUAAAGGAUAAAAUGAAAGAUACACUGUUGCCACCAGUAGUAAGACUGAGAAAUACACAUCCAAACAUUUUAAAAACAGACUCUUCUUCAGCAAAGAUUCCAAAAUUUACAAACAAGGCAAGUUUUGAUCCUAUUUUAAGGACUAUAGACGACAAACUAUCAGCCAGAAGUAGCAAAGGACAAGAUAUGUACAAAAAUAGAUACAUUUUACUGGCAGAGGAUAUAGAGUAUGAAGACCAAGACCCUCCUUACCCAGCAUUUUCAAACGCUGCAGGAUAUCCCAACAAUACCUGGGCCCCUGAUCCUAAUAUCAUCACAAAAACGACAUCGGAUAUAAAGAAAGUAUUGAAGAGAGAAAAUACAAAACUCAAGGUUCAAAAGGAAAGAAAAUGUGCUGGUAAAUCAAAAAAGUUGUCUAACUGCACAGGAAGGCUGUUACCACCUGCUCUUCCCACCACAGCCAUCUGUCUAAGGAAAUCCAUUCCAAAGACUUGGCUUCAUUGGACUCCAAGAACAACCAUACACGAUUGUUUGGAUAAAUAUGAGGAUUUAUAUGUGAACCCAGUUAAGCAUCCUACAAAAACAAAAUCAAGAGCAAGACUUGUAGGAAAGAACCCAGAUGAUAGCCAUAAUCAGGGAAAACAUGUUGCAAGACCUUAUACUGCUCCAGACCCUAACAAACAACAAGAAAGCUACACUAGAAAAUUUCCAAGUCCUCGAAUGGUUUCAGCAGGCUUAAUCCACAUCAAUGAUUCAACUCUAGACCAUACUAUGAAUAAAAUGUGGCCCCCCCAAAAUUAAAAGAAGAUACUGAAAAAUGUUGCUCAUUUGUGAUAUUAAAAUAUUAAUGUUAAGUGGAUCAGAAUGAUAUGUGACUCAAAAUAUCCAUUAACAAAAUGGUCUGGAGAUCUGUUCUUGUAUGUUAUUGAUUAGAAGUUAGCAACCAAAUUCCAUCUUAUGAGAACCAUUUUGUUAUGACUAAAAUGAAAAAUGAACACAUUUGAAGUAAACAUGUUUUUGUUUGUGAAUCAAACAAAACCCAGGGAACAAACUGAGAAAUAGAUAUUCAGUUGAUAUUCAUUAGUAAAGUCCCCACACUCCAACUUUUUCCCUUAGAAGGAUGAAUUGAAAUCAAAUAUAUCCUCUGACAUCCCCGCCUUUGUUACCAGUUCUCAGGUUCUGUGUUUGCAGUUAUCUGUGCUCAGCCUCUUGUUAUGACUAAAUUUUACUCUUCAACACUCAUUAUGUUCCUAGAUUCAGCAGUCUGAAAUUCUCUGGGCCUAUAGCUCUUCUGUUAAUUUUAACAUUGAUAUUGCAUUUUUGUAUACCAUGAAUAAGGAUAAUAAAGAAAAGAUUUAAUACUAAAUUCCGAGGCAUUACUUACCCUGAAGUAACUUUCUAACUCACU
rnacentral:lncRNA from 1 species